rnacentral:rRNA from 1 species
CUCGUAGGCGGUUUGUCGCGUCUGCUGUGAAAGCCCGGGGCUCAACCCCGGGUCUGCAGUGGGUACGGGCAGGCUGGAGUGCAGUAGGGGAGACUGGAAUUCCUGGUGUAGCGGUGAAAUGCGCAGAUAUCAGGAGGAACACCGAUGGCGAAGGCAGGUCUCUGGGCUGUAACUGACGCUGAGGAGCGAAAGCGUGGGGAGCGAACA